ACGGAAGGCAGCAGUAGGGAAUAUUGCACAAUGGGGGGAACCCUGAUGCAGCAACGCCACGUGUGGGAAGAGGCAUUUCGGUGUGUAAACCACUGUCGUGAGGGAAUAAUGCUUGGCCUCGGCCAAGUUGAAUGUACCUCGAAAGGAAGCACCGGCAAACUUCGUGCCAGCAGCCGCGGUAAUACGAGGGGUGCAAGCGUUGUUCGGAAUCACUGGGCGUAAAGGGAGCGCAGGCGGAGAUGCAAGCAGUCUGUACAAUACCGGGGCCCAACCCCGGACCUGCAGACUGGACUGUUUCUCUUGGAUAGUUCAGGGGCAAGCGGAAUUCCUGGUGUAGCGGUGGAAUGCGUAGAGAUCAGGAAGAACACCGAUGGCGAAGGUAGCUUGCUGGGGACUUAUCGACGCUCAUGCUCGAAAGUGCGGGUAGCAAACAGGAUUAGAUACCCUGGUA
rnacentral:rRNA from 1 species